AACGUGCAGGUUUGUUACAUAGGUAUACGUGUGCCAUAGUGUUUUGCUGCACCCAUCAGCCCAUCAUCUACAUUAGGUAUUUCUCCUAAUGCUAUCCCUCCCCUAAUCCCCCACCCUCCCACAGGCCCCGGUGUGUGAUGUUCCCCUCCCUGCGUCCAUGUCAAUGCAAAUAUAGAUGUUUAUCUUUUUAUAAAUGAUAUCAUAGUAUACGUAUUAUUUUGUGGUUGUUUGUUUUGUUUUGUUUCUUGUGUCAGUCUCGCUUUGUCAUCCAGGCUGGAGUACAAUGGCACCAUCACAGCUCAAGGCAUCUUAGAAUUCUUCUGCUCAAAAAAUCCUCCUGCCUCAGCCUCCUGAGUAACUGGGACUACAGCUCACUCACAAUGGCUGUCAGACAGCCGAAUGAUCUGAUGCAGCGCGCUGCUAAUCGUUUCAGCAGAAGACAGUGUUUCAAAGGUACGGGAAAGGAGGUGCAGACACUAAUGAAGUUUUAUUAUCGGAACAUAGAAUUAGGAUUGUGACAAGAGACAAUGGUGGCAAUGACACGUAGUUAGAAUGUUACAGCUUGUGAAGUCGGUAGCUAAAUCUCAGGAAUGGAAAUGUUGAGAAGGGUAGACUGAUGACUACCCCUCAGUGGAAACAGACCAGAUCUCAGCUUAUCUGGCUGGAAGGAAAGCAAAAGAAACAAAGCAAAACAAACCAAAAAAUCCUAAGAAACAAAAGACAGAUUCAAGCCAAUCUGUGAUUUGUAAAAUAAGCAAGGUGCAGGCUUGUGUAAGUGUCUUUGACAUAUCCAAAUGAUGAGAGCGGCAUGCUUCGGUAGGUUUGUUCUCAAAAACAAGGCGGUAAAAGCUGAAUCCAGUGGAUCACAAUUAUACUAAGGACUCCAGGUUUGAGUGGAGUCACCACUGACAUUGGUGAUUAGAAAUUAUUUUGUGGGAGAGAGGGAAGGGAGGUGAAAGAAGGAAGUAGGAAAAGGAAGGUGAGGAGGGUCCAUCGUCAUCCAAAAUGGAGCCCCCAAUAACAAUCUCAGUGAGAUGCCUCUUCAGAAUAGCCCUUGCCAUUUAUCCUUCAUUCAUUAAUAUUUGAUAGAUACUUAUUGUCUACUAAGUACCAGGCACUGCUCCACUAAACACCAGGACACAGUGGUGAAUACGACACAUAAGGCCCCUAUUUUCACAAUUUGUAUUCUUUUGGGGGUUAGAGAGAAAAGAAACAAAUAAGAAAAUAUUACAUAUAGCACUAUGGGCUAUGCAAAGAAUUAUAACAAAGUGAAGUGAUAUGCUGCUGGGGAGUCUGUUCUAUAAAGUAUGUAGUGUGUGGUGGUCUUAAGGCAACUCUUAGGUAUUUCGAUACUCUUCCAUUAGUAGGUAGAGUCUGUGUCCCUUCCCCUUGCACCUGAGGGGCCUCUGUACCUACCUGGAAGAAUAGGACACAAAGGAAGUGGCUCUCAGUUUGAAAAGGCCAUGCAGCUUCUGCUGAUUUUUCUUGGGACAUUCACUCUAGGUGCCUUCAGCUGAAUGUAAGAAGUCCAGCUAUCAUGAGGCCACCAUGUGGACAGAUGACUCAGAGGAAUGUGUGUGUGUGUGUGUGUGAGAGAGAGAGAGAGAGAGAGAGAGAGAGAGAGACCUGAGCAGCUAGCAGUGCCAGCACCUAGACGUUUGAACCUUCCCAGCCCAGAUAUAUGGUGGAAAAAACUUCAAGAUGCGCAUUGGACAGCAACCACAUGAAAGACCCGGAGUGAGAACUCUUAAGCUGAGAUCCCACUUUUUCAGACUCCAGAGCCAAAUAAAUAAUUAUUAAUGUUUUAAGCCACUGUUUUUGUGUGGCAACAAUGAAGGCCUGGAACAGGGUGAUACAAGAAAGUUUCUUUGAGGAGAUGACGCUUAUGCUGAAGACCUCAGUAUCAUGAAGGAGCCAGGGGAGAAAGAACAUUCUGGGCAAAGGAAACGGUGGAAAGAUCCUAAUCAGAAAUGGGUUUAGCAAGUUCAAGGAAGGAAAGCAGGCCAGUAAGGCUGAAAUGCAACCCAAUAAGAGUGGUAGGAGAUGAGUGCAGGCAUGCAGUAGAACUUCAGUUUGUGGGGAGGGUGUGCACUCACCCAAGUAAUAUCCUACAGUAAUGCUGAGCGUAGCCAUGAGAACCUUCCAAGUUUAACAUUGGAACCCUGGAAGAGCUUGAAUUCAUUUUCUCUCCUGUGCCAGUGUCAUGAUAAAAAAGUGCUGACAAAACUUUCCCAAACCUCAUCUAAUACCACUGAGGUCCAAGAGAAAGCGAAGGGUGGGUGUUCGGGCACUGCAGUUCUCCCCAGAAAGCAGAGAAUUUAACACCUUCUUGUUUUAAUUAAAAACAAACUAACAAAACAAAACAAAACCUCCUUGGGCACAAAUAAUUAAAAACAAUAUUAAUACUAUAUGGAUAUGUUUCAAGGAUUGCAAGCUUGCAUGAGAACGCCUUUGAACUGUCAGAUCACCUGGUCUUAAAAAGUCAUUUUGCAGUUUCUACCUUCUUUAAACUGGUAGACCAUUUUGUGGCUAAUGUGGAAAUCUAAGAAAUGCAAAUAUUAAUACUACCAGAAAGUGAAGGGAAGUAGCCUGAAUUUGCAUUUUGUGGCAGUUGCAAAGGUCCUUUAACUUGUAGACAAAGGUCUCUC
rnacentral:lncRNA from 1 species